rnacentral:ncRNA from 1 species
CUCGCGUGACUGGCGAAACAGGUGGGCGACCACCGGGGAGCGCGAAGGGCCAUAGACGCCGCUCGCCUGGGCAC